ACAAACUUGGUCAUUUAGAGGAAGUAAAAGUCGUAACAAGGUUUCCGUAGGUGAACCUGCGGAAGGAUCAUUAUUGAGUAAGGGUUCUCUGAGCCCGAUCUCCAACCCUUUGUUUAACAUACCUUGUUGCUUCGGCAGGCCCGUCUUCGGACCGCCGGGGGGGUGCUUAUCCCUCUGGCCAGUGCUUGUCGAUAGCCUAUUCAAACUCAGUUUUAACUAUGUUGUCUAAAUAUCAAAAUAAAUUGAUUAAAACUUUCAACAACGGAUCUCUUGGUUCUGGCAUCGAUGAAGAACGCAGC
rnacentral:misc_RNA from 1 species